UUACUGGAGAAGCUAACCCGAUCGACUCUUCGUGGUGUGACUCAUCGAUUGGCGAUUCGCGCGGAUGCGAUGAAUCCCAUGACGAUCGCUCUGUCUCUUCUCGUCCUAGCCGCGGUUUGCUCGGCGGACUCGGAGGGGCAGCGGGACUGCUCUUCAAGCGAGUGCGCCGAAGAGAAACGUGACCUGUCGGCUGGCGAACAAGGUACGUUAGAUCA